AAGUAACUGAAGAAUCACAAAAGAAGUGAAAAGGCCCUGCCCCGCCUUAACUGAUGACAUUCCACCAUUGUGAUUUGUUCCUGCCCCACCUUAACUGAGUGAUUAACCCUGUGAAUUUCCUUCUCCUGGCUCAGAAGCUCCCCCACUGAGCACCUUGUGACCCCCGCCCCUGCCCACCAGAGAACAACCCCCUUUGACUGUAAUUUUCCAUUACCUUCCCAAAUCCUAUAAAACGGCCCCACCCCUAUCUCCCUUCGCUGACUCUCUUUUUGGACCCAGCCCGCCUGCACCCAGGUGAAAUAAACAGCCAUGUUGCUCCCACAAAGCCUGUUUGGUGGUCUCUUCACACAGACACGCAUGAAAUUUGGUGCUAUGACUCGGAUCAGGGGACCUCCCUUGAGAGAUCAAUCCCCUGUCCUCUUGUUCUUUGCUCCAUGAGAAAGAUACACCUAUGACCUCAGGUCCUCAGACCGACCAGCCCAAGAAACAUCUCACCAAUUUCAAAUCCGGACCCCACUGAAAAUCAGACUGUUCAACUCACCUGGUAGCCACUCCCAGAGCCCCUGGAACUCUGGCCCAAGGCUCUCUGACUCCUUCCCAGAUCUUCUCAGCUUAGCGGCUGAAGACUGACGCUGCCCGAUCGCCUUGGAAGCCCUCUAGACAAUCACAGAUGCCGAGCUUCGGGUAACUCACAGUGGAGGGAACUGACUCAGGGCAAGAAGACAGCUUUGACUCCCGAUGACUUCAUCUCUGACCUGACCAAUCAGCACUCCUGGCUCACUGGCCACCCCACAUCCACCAAGAUGUCCUUAAAAAUUCUGAUUCCGGAAUGCUCGGGAAGACUGAUUUGAGUAAUAAUAAAACUCUGGUCUUCCACACAGCCGGUUCUGCAUGAAUUACUCUUUCCCUAUUGCAUUUCCCCUGUCUUGAUAAAUCGGCUCUAUCUAAGCAGUGGGCAAAGUGAACCCACUAGGCGGUUACACUAUGGGCCAGGGUUUGCUGACUACUUUGUAUGUAUAAGCUUAUUUAUUCUUCAUGAUAACAUAAUUUUUAAAAAGGCAUUGUCACCCUCACUUUACAAAUGAGACAACUAAAGUGCAAAAAGUGUAAGUAAAUUUCAAAGAUCACAGAAUUUGAAUGCGAUGGCCAGGGCUGAGUCCAUGCUCUAGACAAUAGUGUUCAACCUCUUCCCUUGGUGCUACCAGCUGGGGCCUGUACUAGUUUUCUAUCCUCACCCUUGCACCAUGACUUGGAGUCUCUCUGGAAGCUGACAGGAGAAUUUCAGAGAAGGCACGACGCAUCAGUGCCACUGGGAGGAAAGAAGCUUUUGUUUGAUCCUCUAAGCCCCAGUUGGAACCAAUCUUUGCAGUGGUGUUGGCAGCCUCAGGACUCUCUGGGGACUUUCCCAUUCUGGAAACUGAAGAUCUGCUUAAGCGCUGCACAGGUGACAGUUACCGGAUCCUCAGCUAGCUCUUUGCUGUGGUGGCCAAGAAAAUGCUCAUUAAGUUUGGAGUUCUGUUUCCUUAGUUCCUUGUCCUGACAGCCUAAAUGAUUUCAGAUUUUUCCAGUAGUGUGCUCUUCUCCCACCUACAAAACAAAAUGUACAUGUGCUUCCUAGGUUAAGGGAUGGUUUUAUUUAGGUCCAGCUGGAUGGUGGGAACUGAGAAAUACUGCAUUCGAGGACUGGGGCAAGUUCUGAAGCUCCUAAGCAGUGGGUGCCCAUGGAGAAUACAUUUCAGGUCCAUUAUUCAUGACUUAAGUUGAUGUUCUCAAGCAUUAGGCCAAAGACCUGAAAAAUACAAUAAUCCCCGAGAAAUGUACUGCCCAGAAUGUCAUAUUAUCCCACAAGGAGGAAUGCCUAACCAAGACUAGGAAAAGGACAAGGCCAAACCCCUUGCUGGGAUGUACAAAGUGUAAUUGCAAAUUGUCAGUAAUGAAGAAUGCCACAUGGUCAGUUGUGUUUACUGGAACUUGUCUAGUGAUAUCACUGACAGUCAGCAAGGGAGGUCAGGUUCCUGCUGCCUCACGGCCUCCCAUAAAAGACAGGAGUAAACUUGAGUAUAAUGAGUCUCCCUUUUCCUGUUCCUCUCUCCUUCCGUGUAUACCUGCUGCUUUCUUUUGAACUAGAAAUC